rnacentral:rRNA from 1 species
GCAGUCGAACGAGACAGAGUUUGUAGUAUACAAAUUUUGUUUAGUGGCGCACUGGUGCGUAACACGUGAGUAAUCUACCGGAAAGUGGGGGAUAGCUCGCCGAAAGGCGAAUUAAUACCGCAUGUGGCUAAGGAUGACAUCCUUCUGAAGCCAAAGCAGCAAUGCGCUUUCUGAUGAGCUCGCGGCCUAUCAGCUAGAUGGCGGGGUAACGGCCCACCAUGGCUAUGACGGGUAGCUGGUCUGAGAGGACGACCAGCCACACUGGAACUGAGACACGGUCCAGACACCUACGGGUGGCAGCAGUCGAGAAUUUUUCACAAUGGGGGAAACCCUGAUGGAGCGACGCCGCGUGGAGGACGAAGGCCUUCGGGUCGUAAACUCCUGUCAUGCGGGAACAAGAAAGUGAUAGUACCGCAAGAGGAAGGGACGGCUAACUCUGUGCCAGCAGCCGCGGUAAUACAGAGGUCCCAAGCGUUGUUCGGAUUCGUUGGGCGUAAAGGGUGCGUAGGUGGCGAUGUAAGUCUGGUGUGAAAUCUCAGGGCUCAACCUUGAAAUUGCAUUGGAUACUGCGUUGCUUGAGG